rnacentral:rRNA from 1 species
AGCAGCCGCGGUAAUUCCAGCUCCAAUAGCGUAUAUUAAAGUUGUUGCAGUUAAAAGGCUCGUAGUUGAAUUUCGGGAUCAAUACGUCGGUCGUACCUCGGUACGUACUAACGUCAUUGAUUUCUCCCUUCUGACGAACCAUGAUGCCAUUAAUUUGGUGUUAUGGGAAAUCAGGACUGUUACUUUGAAAAAAUUAGAGUGUUUAAAGCAGGCUCACGCUUGAAUACAUUAGCAUGGAAUAAUGAAAUAGGACGUUCGAUCCUAUUUUGUUGGUUUUUAGGAUCAACGUAAUGAUUAAUAGGGAUAGUUGGGGGCAUUAGUAUUCAAUUGUCAGAGGUGAAAUUCUUGGAUUUAUUGAAGACUAACUACUGCGAAAGCAUUUGCCGAGGAUGUUUUCAUUAAUCAAGAACGAAAGUUAGGGGAUCGAAGACGAUCAGAUACCGUCGUAGUCUUAACCAUAAACUAUGCCGACUAGGGAUCGGAUGAUGUUAAUUUUUAAUGACUCAUUCGCGCCUUACGG